CUUUGACAGAAGUGAACAAACUGUGCCGUUCAAAUUGAUGUUUAUUCUAUUUUUGUUUGCUAGGAUUAUAUUUGAGGGACAUGUUUUAAGUUCAAACCAGUUUGUAUCAUCAAAAAUAUGUCUUAAAAGAAAAUAUUGACCAGUUGACAUAUUAGUUAUGGCAUUUAAUGGGUCUCAUGGUCUAUUUCAAGAGCAUAUAUAUACGUCUGAAAGCACACAAGGGGUAUCAGUACCAAGUCAUUCUUCCGAUUUGUUAAGAAUUUUUAUAAAGUACAUGUACUGUCAAAUUCAAUUAGAUUAUCGUUGAAAUGAACAAUUUAUUAAAUAACAGAUUUUGAAACAAAAUAUUAAAAUUAAAUUUAUGAUAUUCAUAACAAAUGUCAUAUUUAGCCUCUCCCUGUUGAAAGUUAUUUAUUCAGUAUUAUUAGGUACUAAGCGGAUAGAGACUAAAGUGUCAAAGUUUAUUAAACUUACACGUAAUAGAUACUUUUAUUAUUUUAAUAAAUAUCUUUCAUCUUUAGAACUGUACCUUAUUGUGGAAAUCAAACAAUAUAAAUAUCUAUUUUGUAUUGUUUAUCAAACAAUGGCGUCAUAAAAAAAACGGAAAAUGUGAAUAGCAACAGUGACAAUAAUAAAAACAAAUGUUUUUGGUCUUGUCCAAGGAGACACUCUGAGUUCUAGGGCACUACUCAAUAUCACAAUUCAGUGACUAGAAAUACCAACUAUGCAUUUUCAUUUAAAUAAAUUUAUAAGAUUCAUGAUCAAAACAACAACAACAACAACAACAACCAAACCAAACAACAUCUUAAUGAUUGGGAAAGUAAAAUGUCUUACUCUACCAUGUAGUCAGUGGCGGAUCCAAAAGGGGGGGGAGGGGGGUGUUCCGGGGGUUGGAACCCCCCUUUUUAAAAUGGCUGGAUUUUCCACUGGUAGUUAAGAAGGAAAUAAAAGUAACUGAAGAAGGCUAGUGGCUGAACAGUCUUAAAUAAUGGUUAAUUACUGCAAAAAUGUUAUAUAAGUUCCCUAUUGGAAUUUUUGGAACAAAAAGGUACAUAAAACAAAAAACAGGACUUUUGAAACAAAUUUAAAAAAAACAAAAAAAAAACGGGAAACUGAACACAACCUAAAUAAAAAGCCGUAUUCUAUAAAACUGCCAUCCAUCUUAAACAUAUUUUUUUAAUGGAUUGUCAGAUCAUAAAGAGACUUAAUUUUCUAAUCAAUAAGCUAUUAUUUGAAAAUAAAGUGAUCCUGUCAUAGCUUUCUCAGAAUUGAUCCUAUACGUUUGUCAGGCAAGUCACUUUUCCUUUAUAAAAAAAAAGGUUCAGUGACAUAAUUACAGUAUUUCCGCUUAUUAUGGUAAUAGUACUUAAAGGGAAGAGAAAACAAUAUUUCUCAAUGUCAUUAUGACCCUGAAUAGACAUCCUUGUUGGUGAUACAAUAUACCGUGUAUUAAAAAUAAAGAAAAAAAAAGCUUAACGAAAACAAAAUGGAUAAGAGAAAUGCUGAAAUUGUUAUCAAUUAGUAAGGAAUUAUUUUUAAAUUCAUAUUCUGCAUCAGUGGCUCUGUUCACUAUAAAUCUUACAACUAAAAAUUGAUUGUAAGUUAUAUUGAAAUAAACUUUGUGAAACUAUUCACAGACCAUUUAAAGUUGUUCUUUGACGAUGUUCAUACAGCAAUGUAAAGACCUGAAGAAAAAAAAAGAAAAAAAUGUAUAAAUUUUUGUAUCAGGUAUGACUGCACUUUAUCAGUGCAUGUGUUAAUAUCAGGUGUCCGAUCAAUAUAGAUUUCCUGAAACAAGCUUAUUUAUUCAAUUAUUUUCAAUGGUAUAAGGUUAAUGUUUACAUAGUAAAAAAUAGAAUAGAGAUUUCUGAUAAAACUUCACAUCAAAGUUUUCACAGUGUCUAUUUAGGAAUGUUUCAAAAUUAGCUUAUUUGUACAAUUAACCUUGGGUCUUAGAAGUCUCAGGUCAGUAGAGAAAAGGUUUUAACACCGUUCUCUAUAAGUAAAUAAAAUAUAUAUAUUUUGUCAGUCUCAGAAUAGAUGGAGUUUAAAAAAAUAAACAAGACCGUCUACAAAAGGCUUUGGUGGGGAACAGCUUUGAAAAAAUUAUUACCCACCCAUAGAGAAGUGUACAACAAGCUUUACUUGCAUAUUUUUAGUUGGAACUACCUGUCCAUGCACCCAUUACAAUAUUGACUUACUGUAAAUUCAAAAAUUAUUGCGAUGUUUUUAUUAUUGUGAAAAUUGCGACAGGGUUAAAAUCGCAAUAAUUUAAAC
rnacentral:lncRNA from 1 species